AGGUUAAGCUACUAAGAGCAUAGGGAGGAUACCUUGACACCAAGAGCCGAUGAAGGACGUGAUAAGCUGCGAAAAGCUAUGGGGAGAAGCAAAUAUUCAUUGAUCCAUAGAUAUCCGAAUGAGGAAACUCAACUAGAGAAAAUAAUCUAGUUAUCCAUACGUAAGUAAAGUAGCGUAUGAGAGGGGAACGCAGGGAACUGAAACAUCUUAGUACCUGCAGGAAAAGAAAGAAAACUCGAUUCCUGAAGUAGUGGCGAGCGAAACAGGAAGAGCCUAAACCAGGAGAAGUAAUUCACCUGGGGUGACGGACUACAAAAAUGACUCAAGAAUCUAGUAGAAAUGUUUUGGAAAAGCAUACCAUAGAAGGUGAAAGUCCGGUAUAUGAAAGAGGAAGGAGCAUGGUAGGAUCCAGAGUAAUGCGAGGCACGUGGAAUCUCGUAUGAAAAAGUGGGGACCACCCCAUAAGGCUAAAUACUACUUGGUGAUCGAUAGUGGAAUAGUACCGUGAGGGAAAGGUGAAAAGAACCCCGGGAGGGGAGUGAAAGAGAACUUGAAACCCUAUGUUUACAAGCAGAUAGAGCGAUUUAAGGCGCGAUAUCGUACUUUUUGUAGAACGGUCCAGCGAGUUAUUGUAU
rnacentral:rRNA from 1 species